AUUGAACGCUGGCGGCAGGCCUAACACAUGCAAGUCGAGCGGAUGACGGGAGCUUGCUCCUUGAUUCAGCGGCGGACGGGUGAGUAAUGCCUAGGGAUCUGCCUGGUAGUGGGGGACAACGUUUCGAAAGGAACGCUAAUACCGCAUACGUCCUACGGGAGAAAGCAGGGGACCUUCGGGCCUUGCGCUAUCAGAUGAGCCUAGGUCGGAUUAGCUAGUUGGUGGGGUAAUGGCUCACCAAGGCGACGAUCCGUAACUGGUCUGAGAGGGUGAUCAGUCACACUGGAACGGAGACACGGUCCAGACUCCUACGGGAGGCAGCAGUGGUGAAUAUUGGACAAUGGGCGAAAGCCUGAUCCAGCCAUGCCGCGUGUGUGAAGAAGGUCUUCGGAUUGUAAAGCACUUUAAGUUGGGAGGAAGGGCAGUAAGUUAAUACCUUGCUGUUUUGACGUUACCGACAGAAUAAGCACCGGCUAACUCUGUGCCAGCCGCCGCGGUAA
rnacentral:rRNA from 1 species